CCUGCAAGCUGGAUGUUUGGCCUUCUUCCCCUGGAAGGAUUGUUUGAGUCUCACACUGAACAGGGGAUUAACCUCCACAAGUUCCAUUCAAGUCCUCCUGGAUUUCCAAGUGACAGUCCGCCCAAUAGGUCCUCAGGAUCCAACGAAGUCUAAACCUGUCCGCCCUCCAAUGAGUCUCUACCUCUGGAUAAACCCACACUUACUGGAUUCUGGGGAAGAAAGUCUUCUCCACUAACUUUCGGUUCACCAGCACACUGAGUUUCCUGAAUCCAACCCCCACUGACCUUAUCAAUAAACCUGUUAAAACUUU